AGUGGCGAACGGGUGACUAACACGUGAGUAACCUGCCCCUGACUCUGGGAUAAGCGUUGGAAACGACGUCUAAUACUGGAUAUGACUGCCGGCCGCAUGGUCUGGUGGUGGAAAGAUUUUUUGGUUGGGGAUGGACUCGCGGCCUAUCAGCUUGUUGGUGAGGUAAUGGCUCACCAAGGCGACGACGGGUAGCCGGCCUGAGAGGGUGACCGGCCACACUGGGACUGAGACACGGCCCAGACUCCUACGGGAGGCAGCAGUGGGGAAUAUUGCACAAUGGGCGAAAGCCUGAUGCAGCAACGCCGCGUGAGGGAUGACGGCCUUCGGGUUGUAAACCUCUUUUAGUAGGGAAGAAGCGUAAGUGACGGUACCUGCAGAAAAAGCACCGGCUAACUACGUGCCAGCAGCCGCGGUAAUACGUAGGGUGCAAGCGUUGUCCGGAAUUAUUGGGCGUAAAGAGCUCGUAGGCGGUUUGUCGCGUCUGCUGUGAAAUCCCGAGGCUCAACCUCGGGCUUGCAGUGGGUACGGGCAGACUAGAGUGCGGUA
rnacentral:rRNA from 1 species